GGGCAGAUACCCAAGUGGACAACGGGGGCAGACUGUAAAUCUGCUGGCUUAUGCCUUCGCUGGUUCGAAUCCAGCUCUGCCCA
rnacentral:tRNA from 1 species